GGGACGCGGAGGUAUUACCGAGUUUUCACUCCCUAACCCUUCUGUGAACCUACCUAUCGUUGCUUCGGCGGACUCGCCCCAGCCCGGACGCGGACUGGACCAGCGGCCCGCCGGGGACCUCAAACUCUUGUAUUCCAGCAUCUUCUGAAUACGCCGCAAGGCACAACAAAUGAAUCAAAACUUUCAACAACGGAUCUCUUGGCUCUGGCAUCGAUGAAGAACGCAGCGAAAUGCGAUAAGUAAUGUGAAUUGCAGAAUCCAGUGAAUCAUCGAAUCUUUGAACGCACAUUGCGCCCGCCAGCAUUCUGGCGGGCAUGCCUGUUCGAGCGUCAUUUCAACCCUCGACCUCCCCUUGGGGAGGUCGGCGUUGGGGACCGGCAGCACACCGCCGGCCCUGAAAUGGAGUGGCGGCCCGUCCGCGGCGACCUCUGCGUAGUAAUACAGCUCGCACCGGAACCCCGACGCGGCCACGCCGUAAAACACCCAACUUCUGAACGUUGACCUCGAAUCAGGUAGGACUACCCGCUGAACUUAAGCAUA
rnacentral:rRNA from 1 species